rnacentral:lncRNA from 1 species
UCCAAUUUUUCAUUUAAUGGAGAUUUGCAGCGAAGGCUCAAUAAUUGUGAAGGCUUAUUGUGGGUCUCCUACUCCGAGUUCUUUAAUUUUAACAUUUGGGGAAAACUAUGUUGUGCUAGGUUUGGUAGAUUCUUCUCCAUGUAUGUGCCAAUUAUUCCUUUGGUUUUCCUACAUCUAGUUGAAUCAAGUAACUCUAGGCUCUUAGAAAUUCAUGUGACAUUAUAGUCUCUCAAUUACCUUAAUCCGAUAUCAAAGGUGAUGCUAUAGCCAUUAAAAUUCCUAAAAGUGAGUACCAAGCAGGUCUUUAAAGGUGUAAAAAAUCACCUCUAGGGUCGUCUUAUUAUAUCAAAAGGAGAUUCCCCAUUAAAUUUGUUUACCUGAAAUCCAAGUGUUCCUCCUUGUGGAACAUGAUAGGAAAUGGAGCAUAAUUUCGUUAGGGAAUGGAUACUAUGAUUCCUCGUUCUCCUCUAUUGAGGACAUGAGAAGUGUGUGUUGUAGGAUCCUAAAGCCUCAAGCCAUGAAUUCUGUCUCUAACUUUGGACUUCUGAUUUGUCAACAAGAGAUAAAUUACAGCCCAAUCUUUCUUCAACAAAGCCCAAUCAAAUUGAAUCCAAUAACUCUCAAACUACUUAAAAUUUCCUUUUAUAGAAA